UUUCAGUUCAUCCGAGACGUGAUGAUUUCAAAGACAAACAGUGACAGCCUUCUUUUACAUUGAAAAGUUUGGAAAGCUCAAGAAUUCGUUAUUUGCAUGAGAGAGUGUGAGAUGGGUUCAUAAAGUGUGAGACUCACAGGCAAAGCAUGAGAUGUCACCUGCAUGCUUACUUGUACAGUAAUACUCCCAAGGCCAAAAAUAAAAAUAUGUUUGUUUCCCCUCGCCCGACCGGGUCAAAAAAAAGGGCCCGGGUCAAAAGUUUUUUUGCCAAAAAAUUGCGAUGUUUUUUUUUUUUAUUUCCGUAAAAAAAUCGUGUCCGCUCCGUGUCGGUUCUAGACGUUACUUCUGCUUUUUUCGGAAGUUACCGGGAUUUAUCGAUACUUGAAAAAAUGGGUGACAGAAUAGCGUUGUCGUCUACUGUAAAGAUAAAAUACAAACACACAUCUAAAGUUGUGCCCAUAAUAGUCAACAGACUCUACAGUUUCUCCAAACACUGUACAUGGAAUGAGGUUUUGAAUGAUUUGACAGCGGACGGCGACCAUAACAUAGACAAGUUGGAUGAAGUAACUGUCACCGUGUCGGACAAACUUGCCAACGGUGUAACUUUUGAGCCAGAUUUUGAAGAACAGAUACAAGUGGUUCACAACUUUGAUAAAAAAUUGAAAUAUGUACAAUUUGACGUGAUAAGAGACUUAGAACCAAAUAACAAUGUACCAAAAGGUCAAAAUCUUCCUACAUGUCCUACAGCUUUCGAUGUUUUGAUGAGAAAGUCCAGCACACUGACAAAGCUCCCUCAAAAGAUUGAUGAAGCCUCUCCCAGAUUUACAGGUAAUUUAUAUGCAUUAUUAUAUUUCUAUCAAGUAGGUUUGAGAUGGUGUAUGGCUCAUGUCUUAAAGUUAUAAAUGAGUCUGUCCCACACCAUUUCAUUUCUUUCUUCAAUGUUCCCAAACUUUUGGUCUGGGGAAAUUUAUGGUAGGGGGUGUAAAAACGGUAAAUUCCUAGGGGAAGUGCUGCCCAAAUUUUUUUCAACAUUGGACUUUGUCAUUUUUUCACAUUUUAAAGGGUCGCAGCUAUACAUUUGUGAGGGGGUGGACAGGGGUGUCUCCAAUUCCCGGUUCCCACCCCCUCGACUCCCAGUUAACGCCCCAUUGACUCCCGGUUCCCUACCCAUGGACUCCUAGUUCCCGACCCAUCUACUCCCUUUGACGUUUUUUUUUUUGGCUUGUCACCAAUUUUGAUUUUACUCCCGCCUUACGCUAAUCCCGGUUCCCGCCCCCGUUAGCUCCCAGUUCCCUCCCCCUAACUUCCUGUUCCCGCCCCCUUACUCCCGGGUUCCCGCCCCCUUGUCCACCCCCUCAUUUGUGGCUUCAAUUUUUAAAUACCCUGGCGUGUCAAAUUCUGGGUAUCAAGUGUGUGAUAGUGAUCGAUAUGUUUACAUCCUUGACUAUUUUAGCAUUCACUUAUUGUGUCCCCUCAGUGUAUACCCAGUGUGUUGCGACAUAUAGGGAUCUGACCCUUUUAUCAUUUCCAGUUGGGUUGUUAUUGUCAGCCACACUUUUUGGUAACUCUGUUCUCAGAAACUAGUGGCUGAAAUUUGGUAUACAGAUUCAGUAUGUAAAGUCCAAUUUCGUGGGAUGCGAAUUCAGAUCUGUCACACUUCAACUUCCUGCUGUUUACUUACUUUGAUUUUUUUUACUUUAAUUUUUUUCAACAUUUAUAAGGCCAUGCAGGCGACACAUGUAUUCAUUGAUAACUCACGAUUGAUAAUAUUUGCAUUUAAUUUGAAGUACAUGUAUACUCAGUGUGUCAGAAUGUAAAUUUUAUUGCAGCUAAACAAAAACUGUACAACGGGAUAGUGAACAUGUUUGUGGAAUUUGAAGACAAGUUUCCAGUUGUAAUGACGGACAAAGCCAUUAGUGACCAAGUGAUCAUGCCAUUGACCAAUGCUGUGUGGUACUUAAGUGGAAAUAUGGGGACAAUUCUUGUUUCUAGUCAAGAAUAAAUGUUUUUUGUUUA